rnacentral:rRNA from 1 species
AGGGCGCAUUGAACGAAAAGGCCGGCGCUUGCGCCGGCCGAGGGAGGAUGGGGUCGUCUCUCGGGGCGGCCCCCGCACUCCCGGGGCGUCUCGUCCUACCGCGGCUCGUCCGCGGAAGGUGAGGCGCACCAAGAGCGCACGCGUCGGUACCCGAAAGAUGGUGAACUAUGCCUGGCCAGGACGAAGCCAGGGGAAACCCUGGUGGAGGUCCGUAGCGAUUCUGACGUGCAAAUCGAUCGUCAGAGCUGGGUAUAGGGGCGAAAGACUAAUCGAACCAUCUAGUAGCUGGUUCCCUCCGAAGUUUCCCUCAGGAUAGCUGGCGCUCGUAGAACCGAGUCCCAUCCGGUAAAGCGAAUGAUUAGAGGCUAUGGGGUCGAAACGAUCUCAACCUAUUCUCAAACUCUAAAUGGGUGGGAACUCGUGCUUGCUUAAAUGGUGAAGCACGAGGUUUUCGGAUCGGAGUGCCCAGUGGGCCACUUUUGGUAAGCAGAACUGGCGCUGUGGGAUGAACCAAACGCCGGGUUAAGGCGCCCGAACGGACGCUCAUGUGAAACCAUGAAAGGUGUUGGUUGCUUAAGACAGCAGGACGGUGGCCAUGGAAGUCGGA